rnacentral:rRNA from 1 species
AUUGAACGCUGGCGGCAUGCUUUACACAUGCAAGUCGAACGGCAGCGCGGGCUUCGGCCUGGCGGCGCGUGGCGAACGGGUGAGUAAUACAUCGGAACGUGCCCAGUAGUGGGGGAUAGCUCGGCGAAAGCCGGAUUAAUACCGCAUACGAUCUGAGGGUGAAAGCGGGGGAUCUUCGGACCUCGCGCUAUUGGAGCGGCCGAUGGCAGAUUAGCUAGUUGGUGGGGUAAAGGCCUACCAAGGCGACGAUCUGUAGCUGGUCUGAGAGGACGACCAGCCACACUGGGACUGAGACACGGCCCAGACUCCUACGGGAGGCAGCAGUGGGGAAUUUUGGACAAUGGGCGAAAGCCUGAUCCAGCAAUGCCGCGUGUGUGAUGAAGGCCUUCGGGUUGUAAAGCACUUUUGGCGGGAACGAAAAGGACUGUGCCAAUACCACGGUUCGAUGACGGUACCCGCAGAAUAAGCACCGGCUAACUACGUG